ACGGAAGGCAGCAGUGGGGGAUAUUGGUCAAUGGGGGAAACCCUGAACCAGCGACGCCGCGUGAGUGAAGAAGUAUUUCGGUAUGUAAAGCUCUAUCAGCAGGGAAGAAAAAAAUCAAAAUUGACAGUACCUGACUAAGAAGCCCCGGCUAACUACGUGCCAGCAGCCGCGGUAAUACGUAGGGGGCAAGCGUUAUCCGGAUUUACUGGGUGUAAAGGGAGUGUAGGCGGCGAAGCAAGUCAGAUGUGAAAGCCCGGGGCUCAACUCCGGGACUGCAUUUGAAACUGUUUUGCUAGAGUAUCGGAGAGGUCAGUGGAAUUCCUAGUGUAGCGGUGAAAUGCGUAGAUAUUAGGAGGAACACCAGUGGCGAAGGCGAUCUACUGGACGAUAACUGACGCUGAGGCGCGAAAGCGUGGGGAGCAAACAGGAUUAGAUACCCUGGUA
rnacentral:rRNA from 1 species